rnacentral:lncRNA from 1 species
CCAGGGAGCUUGUAUACCGUCCUGCCGUCAGCUACACUGUUCACUCCUCGGGGACAUGGCUUUUGGGGGAUAGAGUAGGUUUUUUCCCUGGUAUUCCCAGCUCCUAGCAUUAUACCUGGUACUCAGAAGGAUAUGAAUAAGCAGUACUCAUUGAACUUUCAAUGGACCAUCACGCAGUCGACUUAUUCUUAGAGAAGUCUCAAGCAUGCCACCAACCAGACUGCAGGCUCCACGAGCAGAGCGGCUGGGUCUGCCUCGCUGGCAGUCUUCUCUCAGGACUGGCACGAUGCUAGUAAACAGCAGGCACCAGAUUGGGAACUCAGUGAGAACAAGACCAGCUGCGUCUGUACCAGCCUCCCAUGAAGAUGAAGAAACAGAGGUAGGAAGAUACUCCCUAACUCUCCCUUCCAGGUAAACCUGAUUCCUAACUCCAGCUCAGCCAAGACAUCCCAACACUGCUCUCCAAAAGAGCUGCCACACGAGUUCCCACUGGGGAACCUGCAGCUUCAGUGGAGGGCUUCGCCCUCAUUCCCCGGAAUUAUCAACUGCAUUUCUCCUUUUUUCAACUCACC